rnacentral:rRNA from 1 species
CGGGCGAGGCGCCGGUCUAAGUCCCUUGGAACGGGGCGUCAGAGAGGGUGAGAAUCCCGUACGCGACCGGUGGCCGAGCCUAUGUGAAACCCUUUCGACGAGUCGAGUUGUUUGGGAAUGCAGCUCAAAACGGGUGGUAAAUUUCAUCUAAAGCUAAAUACCGGCCAGAGACCGAUAGCGCACAAGUAGAGUGAUCGAAAGAUGAAAAGCACUUUGGAAAGAGAGUCAAAAAGUACGUGAAAUUGUUGAAAGGGAAGCGCUUGCAACCAGACCUGCCCGCGGGUGAUCAGCNGUCNUUCUGGGCGGUGCACUCGCCCGCGAUCAGGCCAGCAUCGGUUCGGGCGGUCGGAUAAAGGCCUCGGGAACGUGGCUCCCCUCGGGGAGUGUUAUAGCCCCUGGUGCAAUGCGGCCCGCCCGGACCGAGGACCGCGCUUCGGCUAGGAUGCUGGCGUAAUGGUUGUAAGCGGCCCGUCUUGAAACACGGACCAAGGAGUCGACCAACUAUGCGAGUGUUUGGGUGUCAAACCCACACGCGCAAUGAAAGUGAACGGAGGUGGGAACCCCUCGCGGGGCGCACCAUCGACCGAUCCAGAUGUCUUCGGAUGGAUUUGAGUACGAGCAUAGCUGGUCGGACCCGAAAGAUGAUGAACUAUGCCUGAAUAGGGUGAAGCCAGAGGAAACUCUGGUGGAGGCUCGCAGCGGUUCUGACGUGCAAAUCGAUCGUCAAAUUUGGGCAUAGGGGCGAAAGACUAAUCGAAUCAUC